CCAACUCCUGCUGUAAUCUCUGCUCCACCUACAAAUGUACCUGUUGUCACAGCACCUUCAUCUCCAUUAAUUAAUGGCAUUCCUAAGGAAACUGUGCAGAGUGAACCUGUUCCUGUUGCUUCUAAAGGACCAGAAAAAAAAAAAGUAAUUGGACGGAACACAAAGCUCCUGAUGGGCGGACUUAUUUUUAUAAUCAUAUUACGAAGCAGUCAAGCUGGGAGAAGCCUGACGAAUUGAAAUCACAGUCAGAGCUUUUACUGUCUCAGUGUCCUUGGAA